rnacentral:rRNA from 1 species
UUGAACGCUGGCGGAAUGCUUUACACAUGCAAGUCGAGCGGCAGCGCGGGGCAACCUGGCGGCGAGCGGCGAACGGGUGAGUAAUAUAUCGGAACGUACCCUGUCGUGGGGGAUAACACAUCGAAAGAUGUGCUAAUACCGCAUCCGACCUGAGGGUGAAAGCGGGGGAUCGCAAGACCUCGCGCGAUAGGAGCGGCCGAUAUCGGAUUAGCUAGUUGGUGAGGUAAAGGCUCACCAAGGCGACGAUCCGUAGCUGGUCUGAGAGGACGACCAGCCACACUGGAACUGAGACACGGUCCAGACUCCUACGGGAGGCAGCAGUGGGGAGUUUUGGACAAUGGGGGAAACCCUGAUCCAGCCAUGCCGCGUGAGUGAAGAAGGCCUUCGGGUUGUAAAGCUCUUUCGGCAGGAACGAAACGGUGGAGGCUAAUACCUUGCAUCAAUGACGGUACCUGAAGAAGAAGCACCGGCUAACUACGU